GCAAAGAUGAUGAGAGAGCUGCCUGCUCACAGACACGUGUACUUGGAACCCAGUGUCACUCUGGUGAGUCCCUCGGGGGCUAAGUUGUAAGGAGGCUGACUGCAGCGGGCAGGAGGGUGCCGCAGAUUUUUUCUCAGUAACUGGAGACCCAGAAGCUAAGCCUGGACUUGUGCCGCAGGAAAGGCUCGUCCCACCCCCUGACCCCAGGAUGGUGCUGGAUCCCAC